rnacentral:rRNA from 1 species
GAUGAACGCUAGCGACAGGCCUAACACAUGCAAGUCGAGGGGCAGCACGAAGUAAGCUUGCUUACUUUGGUGGCGACCGGCGCACGGGUGCGUAACAGGUGUGCAAUCUGUCCAUAAUCGGGGAAUAGCCCAGCGAAAGUUGGAUUAAUGCUCCAUGUGAGUUUUAGAGGCAUCUCCUUUGUUUGAAACGUAAGGAUUAUGGGUGAGCACGCUUCUGAUUAGGUAGUUGGUGAGGUAACGGCUCACCAAGCCGACGAUCAGUAGGGGUUCUGAGAGGAAGGUCCCCCACACUGGAACUGAGACACGGUCCAGACUCCUACGGGAGGCAGCAGUGAGGAAUAUUGGUCAAUGGUCGGAAGACUGAACCAGCCAAGUAGCGUGAAGGAUGAAGGUUCUAUGGAUUGUAAACUUCUUUUAUACGGGAAUAAAGCCCACUACGUGUAGUGGUUUGUAUGUACCGUAUGAUAAGCAUCGGCUAACUCCGUGCCAGCAG